AAAAAAAAAACCUCACCCUCGCACAUGUUCACCAAAAAUUUGAUUUGUCUUAAAAAAAAAAAAAAAAAAAAAAAAAACCAAACCGUUUCAGUGGCUAACCACUUUUUUUCUGUAUCUAUAUAUAUUACUUCUCUUCAAAUUUUUUUCCUUCUCAUGCCCUUUUCCUCUGCGAAGCCUGCCGCCACCGUCAGCCAGCGAACCCAUUGUCGAAAACGACAUCUAUCCAAUUACGUUUCAAAUAAUAGGAUCAACAAGAAUUUCAAACACAAGGAGUUUGCAUGGUAACAGGAAAUUACUAUUAUUCAGAUCCACCAGAAAUAUUCCAGCAGAAAGCCAGUCAACAAAUAAUUUUUUAUAUGAGUGAUGCUACAAAGAUUUUGUCAACAGCUUACCAAGUGAAGAAGAUGCUGAUUCUGUUAAAUUUCAAAAAGUAGAUGAUGCAUGUGAUGUACAACUCGCAGCUAAAUCUGCAACUAUGAAGAACAAAAAAACUAUUCAUUGACCAUUGCAGAUCGACAAAAGAGGAAGAGGAACCAAGGAAUCCUUUAAACUGUUAAAACUUGUGUUACAAAUCAUUUUUAACUUUUCUUACAAUAAUGUAAUCACCAUUGGAAGGUGUUCUGUUUUGAGUUGAGAACACAUAGCUGACCUUACAAAAUAAGUGUGAAGGGCUAGUUGGUGUAAUGUAUAUAAUUAAAUUCUGAAUGGUGUUUUCCAUAAAGGCAUGUGUACUUUAUUACUAAUACUUGUAUUGUACUAUUAGUGUGAUGUAGAUAGUUUUAAUUGUGGAAUCUA